AGAUGCUGGAAGAUGCUCAGACACAGGAGGACACCCGUUCAGGAUUGCGGAGCGGGUAACUGCAGAGCCGAGGCCCACAUUUUCUCACCUUCAUAGUCUCACCUUGGCUGAGGAGCUCAAUGAAGAAUGAGGAACUCAUGAACAACCUGAGAGGACUUAUUUCUGAGUAAACCAUCUUGGGGAUGUACCUCCCUUGGAGAAGCCCCCAGGACUCCCAGAAGCAGCUCUUGGAGAGUGAAUGGUGAAGACUGAACAACCGGACAGGAAAACCCUUCAAACAGUCUUGAACUUAUGGAAAAGUUGGAAGUGCUGUGCAGAAUACUUCUGUUUUCCUGAACCAUCUGAGGGUCAUGCACAGGCAUAUGCUUAAGACUCGGCAAAGAUCUCC